rnacentral:rRNA from 1 species
UACGUAGGGGGCAAGCGUUGUCCGGAUUUAUUGGGCGUAAAGAGCGUGUAGGCGGCUUGACAAGUCUGCUGUGAAAACUCGAGGCUCAACCUCGAGCUGUCGGUGGAAACUGUCUGGCUAGAGUCCGGAAGAGGAGAGUGGAAUUCCUGGUGUAGCGGUGAAAUGCGCAGAUAUCAGGAAGAACACCCGUGGCUAAGGCGGCUCUCUAGUACGUGACUGACGCUGAGGCGCGAAAGCGUGGGUAGCAAACAGG